GAAUGACUCUCGGCAACGGAUAUCUCGGCUCACGCAUCGAUGAAGAACGUAGCAAAAUGCGAUACUUGGUGUGAAUUGCAGAAUCCCGUGAACCAUCGAGUUUUUGAACGCAAGUUGCGCCCGAAGCCAUCCGGUUCAGGGCACGCCUGCCUGGGCGUCACG
rnacentral:rRNA from 1 species